rnacentral:snRNA from 1 species
AAACAUGAAGGGGAUCUGGCUGUGACAUCUGUCACCUCAUUGGUUGCCAGGGUUGAUUUGGUUGGCUAGCUGGGUGUCCCCUUCCCCCUUCACCACUCCCUGUACGUCCCUCCCAAAGCUGUGCACUCAGUCAGAGGACAACCUUUCUCCAUAGAAGAGGACUGUUCUUUAGUCAAAGGUAUACGAGUGCUAAACUUCCCUCCUAGAACUUCAAAACAAGCUCUCAAGAUCCAUUGGUAGGAAAAUGUAGGGUAGUCAAGCUUCGAAGAUUCCAGACACAUCAAAUGAUAUGCCUCAUGUGGCAGUCUUCUUUAUU